UACGGAGGGUGCAAGCGUUAUCCGGAUUCACUGGGUUUAAAGGGUGCGUAGGUGGGCUGGUAAGUCCGUGGUGAAAUCUCCAAGCUUAACUUGGAAACUGCCGUGGAUACUAUUAGUCUUGAAUCUCGUGGAGGUAAGCGGAAUAUGUCAUGUAGCGGUGAAAUGCUUAGAUAUGACAUAGAACACCGAUAGCGAAGGCAGCUUGCUACACGAGUAUUGACACUGAGGCACGAAAAGCGUGGGGGAUCAAACAGG
rnacentral:rRNA from 1 species